rnacentral:rRNA from 1 species
AACGUAGGAGGCAAGCGUUAUCCGGAGUAACUGGGCGUAAAGGGCGCGUAGGUGGUUGCGUAAGUUGGUUAUGAAAGCUCCUGGCUAAACUGGGAGAGGUUGACCAAGACUGCGCGACUUGAGUGGAGAAGAGGUAAACGGAAUUCCGCGUGUAGUGGUGAAAUGCGUAGAGAUGCGGAAGAACACCAGUGGCGAAGGCGGUUUACUGGUCUGCAACUGACACUGAACCGCGAAAGCAUGGGUAGCGAACGGG